UACGUAGGGUGCAAGCGUUAAUCGGAAUUACUGGGCGUAAAGCGUGCGCAGGCGGUUAUAUAAGACAGUUGUGAAAGCCCCGGGCUCAACCUGGGAAUGGCCGUUGAAACUGGCGAACUGGAGUGUGGCAGAGGGGGGUGGAAUUCCGCGUGUAGCAGUGAAAUGCGUAGAUAUCGGAAGGAACACCAGUGGCGAAAGCGGCUUCCUGGUCCAGCACCGACGUUCAGGCACGAAAGCGUGGGGAGCAAACAGG
rnacentral:rRNA from 1 species